CAUGCAGUCGACGGUGAACACGGAGCUUGCUCUGUGGGAUCAGUGGCGAACGGGUGAGUAACACGUGAGCAACCUGCCCCUGACUCUGGGAUAAGCGCUGGAAACGGCGUCUAAUACUGGAUAUGUGACGUGACCGCAUGGUCUGCGUCUGGAAAGAAUUUCGGUUGGGGAUGGGCUCGCGGCCUAUCAGCUUGUUGGUGAGGUAAUGGCUCACCAAGGCGUCGACGGGUAGCCGGCCUGAGAGGGUGACCGGCCACACUGGGACUGAGACACGGCCCAGACUCCUACGGGAGGCAGCAGUGGGGAAUAUUGCACAAUGGGCGCAAGCCUGAUGCAGCAACGCCGCGUGAGGGACGACGGCCUUCGGGUUGUAAACCUCUUUUAGCAGGGAAGAAGCGAAAGUGACGGUACCUGCAGAAAAAGCGCCGGCUAACUACGUGCCAGCAGCCGCGGUAAUACGUAGGGCGCAAGCGUUAUCCGGAAUUAUUGGGCGUAAAGAGCUCGUAGGCGGUUUGUCGCGUCUGCUGUGAAAUCCGGAGGCUCAACCUCCGGCCUGCAGUGGGUACGGGCAGACUAGAGUGCGGUAGGGGAGAUUGGAAUUCCUGGUGUAGCGGUGGAAUGCGCAGAUAUCAGGAGGAACACCGAUGGCGAAGGCAGAUCUCUGGGCCGUAACUGACGCUGAGGAGCGAAAGGGUGGGGAGCAAACAGGCUUAGAUACCCUGGUAGUCCACCCCGUAAACGUUGGGAACUAGUUGUGGGGUCCAUUCCACGGAUUCCGUGACGCAGCUAACGCAUUAAGUUCCCCGCCUGGGGAGUACGGCCGCAAGGCUAAAACUCAAAGGAAUUGACGGGGACCCGCACAAGCGGCGGAGCAUGCGGAUUAAUUCGAUGCAACGCGAAGAACCUUACCAAGGCUUGACAUAUACGAGAACGGGCCAGAAAUGGUCAACUCUUUGGACACUCGUAAACAGGUGGUGCAUGGUUGUCGUCAGCUCGUGUCGUGAGAUGUUGGGUUAAGUCCCGCAACGAGCGCAACCCUCGUUCUAUGUUGCCAGCACGUAAUGGUGGGAACUCAUGGGAUACUGCCGGGGUCAACUCGGAGGAAGGUGGGGAUGACGUCAAAUCAUCAUGCCCCUUAUGUCUUGGGCUUCACGCAUGCUACAAUGGCCGGUACAAAGGGCUGCAAUACCGCGAGGUGGAGCGAAUCCCAAAAAGCCGGUCCCAGUUCGGAUUGAGGUCUGCAACUCGACCUCAUGAAGUCGGAGUCGCUAGUAAU
rnacentral:rRNA from 1 species